UCGCCUGUUUAUCAAAAACAUAGUUUUAUGAAUAAAUAUAAAAUAUUUUCUGCCCAAUGUUUAAUUAUUAAUGGCCGCAGUACCUUGACUGUGCUAAGGUAGCAUAAUCAAUUGGCUUUUAAUUUAGGUCUAGAAUGAAUGGGAUAAUGGGGUUUAGCUGUCUUAAAGAUUAUUAUAAAAAUUUAUUUAUUAGGUGAAAAUACCUAUCUCUAAAAUAAAGACGAGAAGACCCUAUGAAUUUUUAAUUUUUUUUUGUUGGGGCGACAGUUUAAAAUUUAAUCUUAAAUUAAUAUUAUAUAACGAGUAUUUUAAUAAAAAUAAAAUUACCUUAGGGAUAACAGCAUAAUUAUAAAAAUAGUUUGUGACCUCGAUGUUGGACUAGGAACUAUAAGGCUAACCGUCUUAAUAGAUUUGUUCUGUUCGAACAAUUUAAUCCUACGUGAUCUGAGUUCAGACCGGA
rnacentral:rRNA from 1 species